GUAGGUGGCAAGCGUUGUCCGGAAUUAUUGGGCGUAAAGCGCGCGCAGGCGGUUCUUUAAGUCUGAUGUGAAAGCCCACGGCUCAACCGUGGAGGGUCAUUGGAAACUGGAGAACUUGAGUACAGAAGAGGAAAGCGGAAUUCCACGUGUAGCGGUGAAAUGCGUAGAGAUGUGGAGGAACACCAGUGGCGAAGGCGGCUUUCUGGUCUGUAACUGACGCUGAGGCGCGAAAGCGUGGGGAGCAAACAGGAUUAGAUACCCCGGUAGUCCACGCCGUAAACGAUGAGUGCUAAGUGUUAGGGGGGUUUCCGCCCCCUUAGUGCUGCAGCUAACGCAUUAAGCACUCCGCCUGGGGAGUACGGCCGCAAGGCUG
rnacentral:rRNA from 1 species